rnacentral:rRNA from 1 species
UUUGAUGUUCUAACGUGGACCCGUGAUCCGGGUUGCGGACAGUGUCUGGUGGGUAGUUUGACUGGGGCGGUCUCCUCCUAAAGAGUAACGGAGGAGCACGAAGGUUGGCUAAUCCUGGUCGGACAUCAGGAGGUUAGUGCAAUGGCAUAAGCCAGCUUGACUGCGAGCGUGACGGCGCGAGCAGGUGCGAAAGCAGGUCAUAGUGAUCCGGUGGUUCUGAAUGGAAGGGCCAUCGCUCAACGGAUAAAAGGUACUCCGGGGAUAACAGGCUGAUACCGCCCAAGAGUUCAUAUCGACGGCGGUGUUUGGCACCUCGAUGUCGGCUCAUCACAUCCUGGGGCUGAAGUAGGUCCCAAGGGUAUGGCUGUUCGCCAUUUAAAGUGGUACGCGAGCUGGGUUUAGAACGUCGUGAGACAGUUCGGUCCCUAUCUGCCGUGGGCGCUGGAGAACUGAGGGGGGCUGCUCCUAGUACGAGAGGACCGGAGUGGACGCAUCACUGGUGUUCGGGUUGUCAUGCCAAUGGCACUGCCCGGUAGCUAAAUGCGGAAGAGAUAAGUGCUGAAAGCAUCUAAGCACGAAACUUGCCCCGAGAUGAGUUCUCCCUGACCCUUUAAGGGUCCUGAAGGAACGUUGAAGACGACGACGUUGAUAGGCCGGGUGUGUAAGCGCAGCGAUGCGUUGAGCUAACCGGUACUAAUGAACCGUGAGG